AGCAGCCGCGGUAAUUCCAGCUCCAAUAGCGUAUAUUAAAGUUGUUGCAGUUAAAAAGCUCGUAGUUGAAUUUCGGGAUCAGUAGGUCGGUCGUGCCACUGGUAUGAACUGGUUUUACUGAUUCCUCCCUCUUGAAGAACUGUAAUGCCAUUAAUUUGGUGUUGCAGGGUAUCAGGACUGUUACUUUGAAAAAAUUAGAGUGUUUAAAGCAGGCUUUAGCUUGAAUACAUUAGCAUGGAAUAAUGAAAUAGGACGUUUGAUCCUAUUUUGUUGGUUUCUAGGAUUGACGUAAUGAUUAAUAGGGAUAGUUGGGGGCAUUAGUAUUCAAUUGUCAGAGGUGAAAUUCUUGGAUUUAUUGAAGACUUACUACUGCGAAAGCAUUUGCCAAGGAUGUUUUCAUUAAUCAAGAACGAAAGUUAGGGGAUCGAAGACGAUCAGAUACCGUCGUAGUCUUAACCAUAAACUAUGCC
rnacentral:rRNA from 1 species